rnacentral:rRNA from 1 species
GAUGAACGCUGGCGGCGUGCUUAACACAUGCAAGUCGAACGGGAAACCUAUUAUUGAAACUUCGGUCGAUUUAAUUUGUUUCUAGUGGCGGACGGGUGAGUAACGCGUGGGUAACCUGCUCUAUACAGGGGGAUAACAACCAGAAAUGGUUGCUAAUACCGCAUAAGCGCACGGGACCGCAUGGUCCAGUGUGAAAAACUGCGGUGGUAUAGGAUGGACCCGCGUUGGAUUAGCUAGUUGGUGGGGUAACGGCCCACCAAGGCGACGAUCCAUAGCCGGCCUGAGAGGGUGAACGGCCACAUUGGGACUGAGACACGGCCCAGACUCCUACGGGAGGCAGCAGUGGGGAAUAUUGCACAAUGGGGGAAACCCUGAUGCAGCGACGCCGCGUGAAGGAAGAAGUAUCUCGGUAUGUAAACUUCUAUCAGCAGGGAAGAUAGUGACGGUACCUGACUAAGAAGCCCCGGCUAACCACGUGCCAGCCGCCGCAGUAACAC